rnacentral:rRNA from 1 species
UACGUAGGCAGCGAGCGUUGUUCGGAAUUACUGGGCGUAAAGAGUGUGUAGGCGGUGCUCUAAGUUCGGUGUGAAAUCUCCCGGCUUAACUGGGAGGGUGCGCCGGAAACUGGAGUGCUCGAGCGUGGGAGAGGAAAGCGGAAUUCCUGGUGUAGCGGUGAAAUGCGUAGAGAUCGGGAGGAACAUCAGUGGCGAAGGCGGCCAUCUGGAUCAACACUGACGCUGAAGCACGAAAGCGUGGGGAGCAAACAGG